UACGUAGGGUGCAAGCGUUGUCCGGAAUUAUUGGGCGUAAAGAGCUCGUAGGCGGUUCGUCGCGUCGGCUGUGAAAUCCCGAGGCUCAACCUCGGGUCUGCAGUCGAUACGGGCGGACUGGAGUUCGGCAGGGGAGACUGGAAUUCCUGGUGUAGCGGUGAAAUGCGCAGAUAUCUGGAGGAACACCGGUGGCGAAGGCGGCAUCCUGGACCGGUAUUGACGCUGAGGCGCGGAAAGCCAGGGGAGCAAAGCGGGG
rnacentral:rRNA from 1 species